UUGAUCAGAGAAAAUUUCGUUGCUUCUGAUGCUGCGGCCAUUCUUAAUAUCCCCAUUCGGUCGGGUGGUGGCAAUGAUUUUCUUGCUUGGGCAUUCGAAAAAACAGGCAACUACACUGUCAAAACAGCGUACCGAUCUCUUGUGACUCAGAACGAGCGCCUGGCUCUAGAGGAAGGGAUGGUUACCGGAACCUCAUUGAAUGAUCAACAGUUGUGGACUGCCUUGAGGAAGUUGAAUGUUAUUCCAAAAGUUAGAGUGUUUUGGUGGAGAGUGCUUCGAGGGAUUUUGCCUGAUGAAGCAACGCUCAAUCAUCGACACAUUGCAGAUGCUCGUCAAUGCAAAGUCUGUCACGCAAUAGACGAGGACCUGAAGCAUGCAUUAUUACAUUGUCCGCACGCUAAAAACUUAUGGGAAGAGGCAUGUGCGUGGUUUGGACUGCGGCUGCCUUUUCUUCAUUCGGAAUCAUGGGCACGUGACAUAACGUGUGCUCCAUGUUUCUUUGCUGAUGAUCGAGCAAAGAUUACAACUAUCUUGUGGUCAAUUUGGCAUUCCAGGAACCGCAUCAAACAUGGAGAAUAG
rnacentral:rRNA from 1 species